rnacentral:rRNA from 1 species
UGGGGAAUUUUGGACAAUGGGCGCAAGCCUGAUCCAGCCAUUCCGCGUGCAGGAUGAAGGCCUUCGGGUUGUAAACUGCUUUUGUACGGAACGAAACGGUCUGCCCUAAUACGGCGGGCUAAUGACGGUACCGUAAGAAUAAGCACCGGCUAACUACGUGCCAGCAGCCGCGGUAAUACGUAGGGUGCAAGCGUUAAUCGGAAUUACUGGGCGUAAAGCGUGCGCAGGCGGUUAUAUAAGACAGAUGUGA